GACGAACGCUGGCGGCGUGCUUAACACAUGCAAGUCGAACGGAAAGGCCCCUUUGGGGGUACUCGAGUGGCGAACGGGUGAGUAACACGUGAGUAACCUGCCCUUGACUUCGGGAUAACUUCAGGAAACUGGGGCUAAUACCGGAUAGGAAUCCUUGCUGCAUGGUGGGGGUUGGAAAGCUUCGGCGGUUUUGGAUGGACUCGCGGCUUAUCAGCUUGUUGGUGGGGUAGUGGCUUACCAAGGCUUUGACGGGUAGCCGGCCUGAGAGGGCGACCGGCCACAUUGGGACUGAGAUACGGCCCAGACUCCUACGGGAGGCAGCAGGGGGGAAUAUUGCACGAUGGGCGGAAGCCUGAUGCAGCAGCGCCGCGUGCGGGAUGACGGCCUUCGGGUGGUAGACCGCUUUCAGCAGGGGCGAAGCUUGUGGUGACGGUACCUGCAGAAGAAGCACCGGCUAACUACGUG
rnacentral:rRNA from 1 species